GAGUUUGAUCAUGGCUCAGGAUGAACGCUGGCGGCGUGCUUAACACAUGCAAGUCGAACGAACCUUCGGGUUAGUGGCGGACGGGUGAGUAACGCGUGAGAAUCUGCCCUCAGGAGGGGGAUAACGGUUGGAAACGACCGCUAAUACCCCAUAUGCCGAUAGGUGAAAUGAAUUUCGCCUGAGGAUGAGCUCGCGUCUGAUUAGCUAGUUGGUAAGGUAAUGGCUUACCAAGGCUUCGAUCAGUAGCUGGUCUGAGAGGAUGAUCAGCCACACUGGGACUGAGACACGGCCCAGACUCCUACGGGAGGCAGCAGUGGGGAAUUUUCCGCAAUGGGCGAAAGCCUGACGGAGCAACGCCGCGUGAGGGACGAAGGCCUCUGGGCUGUAAACCUCUUUUCUCAAGGAAGAAGAUAUGACGGUACUUGAGGAAUAAGCCACGGCUAAUUCCGUGCCAGCAGCCGCGGUAAUACGGGAGUGGCAAGCGUUAUCCGGAAUUAUUGGGCGUAAAGCGUCCGCAGGCGGCUUAUCAAGUCUGCUGUUAAAGCGUGGAGCUUAACUCCAUCAUGGCAGUGGAAACUGAUAGGCUUGAGUAUGGUAGGGGCAGAGGGAAUUCCCGGUGUAGCGGUGAAAUGCGUAGAUAUCGGGAAGAACACCAGUGGCGAAGGCGCUCUGCUGGGCCAUUACUGACGCUCAUGGACGAAAGCCAGGGGAGCGAAAGGGAUUAGAUACCCCUGUAGUCCUGGCCGUAAACGAUGAACACUAGGUGUCGGGGGAAUCGACCCCUUCGGUGUCGUAGCUAACGCGUUAAGUGUUCCGCCUGGGGAGUACGCACGCAAGUGUGAAACUCAAAGGAAUUGACGGGGGCCCGCACAAGCGGUGGAGUAUGUGGUUUAAUUCGAUGCAACGCGAAGAACCUUACCAGGGUUUGACAUCCUGCGAACCUCUUAGAAAUUUGAGGGUGCCUUCGGGAAUGCAGUGACAGGUGGUGCAUGGCUGUCGUCAGCUCGUGUCGUGAGAUGUUGGGUUAAGUCCCGCAACGAGCGCAACCCACGUUUUUAGUUGCCAGCAUUUAGUUGGGCACUCUAGAAAGACCGCCGGUGAUAAACCGGAGGAAGGUGUGGAUGACGUCAAGUCAUCAUGCCCCUUACACCCUGGGCUACACACGUACUACAAUGCUACGGACAAAGGGCAGCUAACUCGCGAGAGCAAGCAAAUCCCAUAAACCGUGGCUCAGUUCAGAUCGUAGGCUGCAACUCGCCUACGUGAAGUAGGAAUCGCUAGUAAUCGCAGGUCAGCAUACUGCGGUGAAUACGU
rnacentral:rRNA from 1 species